rnacentral:rRNA from 1 species
UAACGGCGAGUGAACCGGGAAGAGCUCAAAUUUGAAAUCUGGCGUCCUCAGGGCGUCCGAGUUGUAAUCUAUAGAGGCGUUUUCCGUGCCGGACCGUGUCCAAGUUCCUUGGAACAGGAUAUCAAAGAGGGUGACAAUCCCGUACUUGACACGACGACCGGUGCUCUGUGAUACGUCUUCUACGAGUCGAGUUGUUUGGGAAUGCAGCUCAAAAUGGGUGGUGAGUUCCAUCUAAAGCUAAAUAUUGGCGAGAGACCGAUAGCGAACAAGUACCGUGAGGGAAAGAUGAAAAGCACUUUGGAAAGAGAGUUAAACAGUACGUGAAAUUGUUGAAAGGGAAACGAUUGAAGUCAGUCGUGACCGAGAGGCUCAGCCGGCUCUGCCGGUGUAUUCCCCUCGGUCGGGUCAACAUCAGUUUUGUCCGGUGGAUAAGGGCGGUAGGAAGGUGGCACCCUCGGGUGUGUUAUAGCCUGCCGUCGCAUACAUCGGGUGAGACUGAGGAACGCAGCUCGCCUUUAUGGCCGGGGUUCGCCCGCGUCCGAGCUUAGGAUGUUGACAUAAUGGCUUUAAACGACCCGUCUGAA